rnacentral:lncRNA from 1 species
GGGGAUCAUAAAAACGGACCGAAAGAACUUAGAACUAAUACGCAAAGUCGGGGAUCAUAAAAACGGACCAAAAGAACAUAGAGCUAAUACGCAAAGUCGGGGAUCAUAAAAACGGACCGAAAGAACUUAGAGCUAAUACGCAAAGUCGGGGUUCAUAAAAACGGACCGAAAGAACUUAGAGCUAAUACGUAAAGUCGUAGAUCAUUAAAACGGACUGAAAGAACUCAGAGCUAAUACGCAAAGUUGAGGAUCAUAAAAACGGACCGAAAGAACUUAGAGUUAACACGCAAAGUUGGGGAUCAUAAAAACGGACAGAAAUAACUUAGAGCUAAUACGCAAAGUCGGGGAUCAUAAAAACGGAGCGAAAGAACUUAGAGUUAAUACGCAAAGUCGGGGAUCAUAAAAACGGACCGAAAGAACUUAGAGCUAAUACGCAAAGUCGGGGAUCAGAAAAACGGACCAAAAGAACUUAGAGCUAAUACGCAAAUUUGGGGAUAAUAAAAACGGACCAAAAAAACUUAGCGCUAAUACGCAAACUUGAGGAUCAUAAAAACGGACCGAAAGAACUUAGACCUAAUACGCAAAGUCGGGGAUCAUAAAAACAGAACGAAAGAACUUAGAGCUAAUACGCAAAGUCGGGGAUCAUAAAAACAGUCCGAAAGAACUUAGAGCUAAUACGCAAAGUCGGGGAUCAUAAAAACGGACCGAAAGAAUUUAGAGCUAAUACGCAAAGUCGGGGAUCAUAAAAACGGACCGAAAGAACUUAGAGCUAAUACGCAAAUUUGGGGAUCAUAAAAACGGACCGN